rnacentral:misc_RNA from 1 species
GAUGAAGAACGCAGCGAAAUGCGAUACGUAAUGUGAAUUGCAGAAUUCAGUGAAUCAUCGAGUCUUUGAACGCACAUUGCGCCCUCUGGUAUUCCGGAGGGCAUGCCUGUCCGAGCGUCAUUGCUGCCCUCAAGCACGGCUUGUGUGUUGGGCCCCGCCCCCCGAUCCCGGGGGGCGGGCCCGAAAGGCAGCGGCGGCACCGCGUCCGGUCCUCGAGCGUAUGGGGCUUUGUCACCCGCUCUGUAGGCCCGGCCGGCGCUUGCCGAUCAACCAAACUUUUUUCCAGGUUGACCUCGGAUCAGGUAGGGAUACCCGCCGAACUUAAGCAUAUCAAUAAGCGGAGGA